rnacentral:lncRNA from 1 species
GCCUUCAGGUGAUUUCAAUAUUUAGCUAAGUUAGGGAACUAUUGCUCUCAGCGUGGGAUUCUCGUCCUCUUUCUGCGUUCUUGGUGUUUGAACAUACUCUCCGCAUAGUUCUAUCUCCUGUCUCCUGCUCUCAGGGUCUUCAUUUGGUUUUACAUAUGAAUCCUACUUUUGCUGACCCUUUUCAGUCUGACCCAUUCUGACUCUUUGUGUCUCCUGUCUAUUUUGCCUGUGUACCUGUGGGAGUCUGGCUUUUUCCUGUUGGCCUCCUUCAGUUGUCUCCUGGACCUCAAAGGACUCUGCACCACCUAUGAGGAGGACGAGGAUUGGCUCUGGAAUUGCUAAAGGAUCAAUUAAAACAGAGGAAGAACAAUGUGCAUCUGCUCAAAGAACUCUGCAAAAGAAUUCUGGAGCAGGCCAGUGAACAGACAGGUGAAGCAUCACAAGAAUACCCUAAGAAAACAGGAAGAUCAGCAAGAUGUCAAGUGUUUUACCAAAGAAGACGGGAAAACAACACACAUGUGCUAACAGUGCCACCAUAACAUGAACAGCUUUCCUCUGCUCUGCCACUCUGCCAUUCUGUCUCUGACUUGUAGCCCAGCGACCAUGGACUGCAACUGUGAGCCAAAAUAAAGCUCUCCCCGUUUAAGCUGUGUGGGUCAGG